CUUUCACAUUCAUCCUAUUUUUUGCAUACAUCCUUCAAACCCUCAAAAUUAUCCUUCUCAAUUACCAAACCAUAAUGGCACAACAAGGGUAUUAUAACUCAUCCUUUGACCAUGACAAUCAAGCUGUGGUGACGACAACUAUGCACGAGGAAUGACAAAGAAUUCAGGGGAAGAAAGUCACAAAGGCUAAACAUGGUGGCACAUCAUCAAGCCAAAAACGCAUUCCAAGGGAUAGGGUUAGUGGAAGGAACACUGUUGCCAUUCAAAGGAGGAUUCCUCUAGUUAGUGACAUUCCCGCAAUCAUCUUUGGUGCGGAUGUUACCCAUCCUCAACUUGGGAAGUACAGCAGUCCGGUAAUUGCCGAUGUAAGUUCACUCGUAAAUUCAUUGUGCUAGGGAGCAUUUCGGAGCAUUUUGACAAGAAACUGGCCGAAAACCAGAGAAAAUUAUCCUCUUCAUGAGGGAUAUCUGCCACCAGUUGCCUUUGUUGUGGUACAAACUGAUAAGAGUGGCAAUUUUCAACCAUGUUGCAAAUUUUAGAUGCAUUAAGAUGUAGUGCAUGUGAUGCUUUUCUGUUUUGCGCAUUGAGAUAUUGUAAAUUUGAUCUUUUUCCAUUUCGUGCUUUAACUAUUAUUACCUUGUCAGGCACUAUUGUUGACACCCAGAUUUGUCAUAUGAGGGAGUUCAACUUUUAUCUCAACAGUCAUGCGGGCAUUCAGGUAUAAAGGCACUAUCCUUAUUCUUAUUAUAAGGCCUUAUUAUAUCAUGAUGGAGGCAGAUUCUCGAUUCAGACUAAUAAUGAGACCCUCUACAUAUCUUCGAAGAUAUGUAGUUUGAGUGAACGCUCGAUCACCAAAUCAUCUAUGUAAGGGAACAAAUUUGAAAUCAGCAGGUUCGUUAGUCAUAUGAGCCCAAAUGCUAAAUAGAUAGAAUAACCCACAAUGUAUAGUUAAAGCAUGCAAUAGGUUUCAACAAGGAGGUAAUGGGCUUCGCCAAGUGGCUUGCACAGGCCCAACCGCAUCUAUUAAAUACUAUACCGUGAGUCCAUGCGCAAGGCUGUCCAAAAACAUAUGGAUGCUACGAGUGAAGAAAGUGGUGGUCGACACUUGGAUUUAGGCAUACAUGCCUCGACAAGUGAACAACUUUAUGCACUUCAACAAUUGGCUUGUAGGUUUUGUAUGACAGAAAGGAUAUUUGUUAUCAUAGAUAUCUUAAUAUGUCAAAGAUACAAUGAACUCAUUGAAGAAUAGAUGGCCCAAGAAAGUGUACUAGAGACGCUUUUUGUGGCGGCUUUGAGAGAUAGAAUCCCCCUUUAGGGUACACUUUGCAAACUAGUUCCUCCUUCAUUACUUUGCCAAUUAAAAACUUCUACUCCACACUUCGCAAUCGACAAACAUCAAAGUUACCAUCAAGAAAGCAAAGAGUCUUAUCCGCAACCCGACGACAUUCACAAAUCUCAUUGCUUAUGAUACAUAAUAAUCAUCUGAUCGAAAAUCAUUAUAUAUACACUAAGAUAUUAUUGGAAAGACAUCAUCACCCACGGUGUGUUGAGAUGGUGGAGACUGAGAAAAGUCGGACGUUCUCUCACAUUCUUGAGAGGAGGGUAUGUGAUACAUUGAUUGAAUUUAUAUCGAGUGACUUUGGAUAUGAUAAUUAUUAUGUCUUACAUGCAAUGAGAUUUGUGGACUUUGUGUCUGUAGAUAAGACCCUUUGCUUUUUCGAUGGGAAUUUUGAUGUUUAUCGAUUAUUAAGUGUGGAGGACAAGUUUUUAAUUGGUGAAGUAAUGAAGGAACUGGUUUGCAAAGUGUACCCUAAAAGGGACAUGUACUCGGAUUUCUCAAAGCUGUCACAAAAAACGUUUCGAGUAUAAUUUCUUGGGCUGUCUCUUCUUAAAUGGGUUCGUUUAUAAGCCAUGUAUCUCUGCGUAUUAAGAUGUCAGGAGCCAAUUGUUGGAGUGCUGUUCACUUUCUGUGACAUUAAACUCUAUUUGCUCACAACAUCCAUAUGUUUUUAGAUAACCCUGCGCAUGGAUUCGAGAUAGUAUACAAUUAAUGCAAUUGAGCAUGUGCAAGCAAACAUGAUGAACUAGUUACAUGCUUUAAUAGUAACUCAUGGGGUUGUUCUACUUAUGUGAGCAUUUGGACAUGUAUGACUAACGAACACGUUGGCUUCAAAUUUAUUCCGCAUAUAGAUGCUCUGGUGCUUGAGCGUUCACUCAAACUACAUAUCUUCAAAGAUAUUAUGGGAAAGACAUCCUCACCCAUGGCGUAUUGAGAUGGUGUAGAGUGGAAAAAAGUUAGUCAUCUUCUCACAUUCUUGUGAGGAGGAUACAUGCUACACUCAAUCGAUUAUCGAGUGAUUUUAGAUCAAAUGAUUAUUCAUCAUGGCUGUAGAUGAUUUCAUGAUAGGAACUUUGAUGUUUGUCAGCUGCGAAGUGUGUAAGUUUUUAAUUGGCGAAGUGAUGAAGGAGGAGCUGAUUUGCAAAGUGUAUUAUACUAGCGGAAAGAGAUUUGAUGAUGAGUCUGAGGAGGAUAACCCUCAAGAAAGUCUUUCAAGACUUGAAUUAUAAAACAUUAACAGUUCUAUUUGUCUGUUCCUUAACAAAAAAAAAAAAACAGUUUUAGUUGUACAAAAAGCAAUUCCAAACGAGAAAUUCCACUUCACUCACUCAAGUCCUCGCAAUGCAUGAUAGGACUUUGUAUAAGUUGAAGCUUAACAACUUUGUUUCGUGAAGUUACUAUGUGUUUAUAUUUCACUCUGUAUCCAUUGUUUCUUAUUUGGCUUUUUGAGCCUUCCAUUACUAUUUGUGUUGUUGAUUUAUAUAUGCCAAUUUUGCUUUUGCGGUAGUUUCCUCACCCUCCUCCGAGGUCUUGUUUAUGAUUUAAUUAUGUGGUUUCUGAUGAGUGCACAUGUAGGGAGAAGGUUUCCUGAAUCUUGCUGGAGUGCACAUUUUUACAAUUUGAAUCCAAUACAAUGUCUUUAUGGUUUCCAGUUGUUCUUUAUCUAAGUGUACCCACUUGUAUUGAAGCAAUUUAAUUUACACAUAAUUUUAAGUUA